rnacentral:misc_RNA from 1 species
AAAGUCGUAACAAGGUUUCCGUAGGUGAACCUGCGGAAGGAUCAUUAUAAAAUUUUCAUAUUAUUUAAUAUGUAAAACAAUAAUUAUAUUCAAAACCCACACACUUAAAAACCAUUAUAAAAAAUAUUAUAAUAAUUAAAAACAACUUUCAACAACGGAUCUCUUGGCUCUC